AAAUUGAAGAGUUUGAUCAUGGCUCAGAUUGAACGCUGGCGGCAGGCCUAACACAUGCAAGUCGAACGGUAACAGGAAGCAGCUUGCUGCUUYGCUGACGAGUGGCGGACGGGUGAGUAAUGUCUGGGAAACUGCCUGAUGGAGGGGGAUAACUACUGGAAACGGUGGCUAAUACCGCAUAACGUCGCAAGACCAAAGAGGGGGACCUUCGGGCCUCUUGCCAUCAGAUGUGCUGUGC
rnacentral:rRNA from 1 species